ACGUAGGAUGCAAGCGUUGUCCGGAUUUAUUGGGCGUAAAGAGUUCGUAGGCGGCAUGUCAAGUCUGGUGUUAAGGCCCGAGGCUCAACCUCGGAUCGGCACUGGAUACUGGCAAGCUUGAGUGCAGUAGAGGCAAGGGGAAUUCCCAGUGUAGCGGUGAAAUGCGUAGAUAUUGGGAGGAACACCGGUGGCGUAAGCGCCUUGCUGGGCUGUAACUGACGCUGAGGAACGAAAGCCAGGGGAGCGAAUGG
rnacentral:rRNA from 1 species